UACGGAGGGGGCUAGCGUUGUUCGGAAUUACUGGGCGUAAAGCGCGCGUAGGCGGCUUUGUAAGUUAGAGGUGAAAGUCCGGGGCUCAACUCCGGAUCUGCGGUGGGGUACGGGCAGACUAGAGUGAUGUAGGGGGAGACUGGAAUUCCUGGUGUAGCGGUGAAAUGCGUAGAUAUCAGGAGGAAUACCGGUGGCGCAAGCGCCCACCUGGCCGAGACCUGACGCUAAGGCACGAAAGCGUGGGGAGCGAACCGG
rnacentral:rRNA from 1 species